rnacentral:lncRNA from 1 species
CACGCGUCUGCCUGCUUUUACGUACAGUGACUGUAACUCAUGAUGUUAUAUUCAGGAAAAAGUAACAAAGGAUUCUGAUAUAUAUUGUUCGGCAAUGCUGUUCUGGUGAAGAAAAUGUAACAAUAAUUCUCAUGGGUCAUUCGUCGUCUCUUUGUUCUAAUCUAUAAAUAUUGAGCUGCUCUGGUCACUCUAUUUCACAAAUUAUAAGUAGUAUGUGUUCAUAUGUAGUAGAGUUCUUUUUUUAAAGAUUUGGUUGUCUGGCUUUAUAUUAUAUUGAUAAAAAGGAAGAGGUACAACGUAUAAGUGCGAGAAGCGCUGCCACUCGCACAGCAUACUAUUGUGGAGGGUUAGGGAUAGUUUGGUUAAUUACUCACUAAUGCUUGGUACAACAUAAUAAGGGGUUCUAAGACUACUCCCCCUGCUACCUUUCCACUCUAGUGUCCAACAAAAGGGUAGAAGGCAUCUUGUCAUUGUUAUUUUUUUAGACAAAAGGUAUUCCCUGCUUUAUUGCUAAUAAAGCAGGCGCACCUACCAACAAACAAAAAAAACACAGCUCAGAAACACGCGGUCUAAAGGCCUAAACCAGCUAAAUGUCUUCGAACUAGCAGAGCUAGCAGAAACAUCUCUCCCAACUUGAUCAUCAUGCAGAGUCACAAUACUGUAAAAACCUGUUCCAAAGGAUGAUAAAACCAUUAAGUGUGCAUGAGAUGUAGAGAGCGUAUGUCUUAGUUUUAACGAUUCAUCCUUUUUUUACUUUGCAUACUUCACAACAUUUAUUUCUCACGCAAAAGCAUAUAUAUGUAUAACAAUAAACUCAAGAAAAAGGUUGUCUAAAGAACAAAUGAUGGAUUACUUAUUAACAUAACAACAUCUCAAUCGACACCUUGGUACAACAUGAUGAUCUCACAAUUUUGUGAAAGUAGACACAUUACAAACUUAAAGACAUGACACUAAAACCCUUCUUAGAUAGUAUGCACCGCCUCUUAUUAGUUAAUCAUUCUGCAGUUCUUCCUGAUCUGUCCAUUGGAGCCGGUCAACGGUGUGAUGUCACCCAUCUUUAUCAUGCCUGUCACAAAAUCCGAGAAGAAUGUGCUCUGGCUACUAAUGUAUGAUUGAACUUGCGCAUCGGUGGCUCCGCCAUUGAAGAGCUCCUGGUCGGAGUGUAGAAGCCCCUUCUUGCAAACAAGGUUCUUGUAGUAGUUGUUCUCAAAGACGGUUGGGGUUUGAAGGUCCAGAGGCGCCAAAUUGUUGUCACCUGAACCUGAGGUUCUAGGGCAGCCUGAUUGCCUUGUUCUUGCGAAGGUGCCAUCGAUGUUAGUGUCAUUGUAUACGUGAGCUCUGAAGUUGGUGCAACGUGCUUGGCCAAUGGUGUGAGCUCCUAUCAAAAGAGGCAUUAUAUUACACAAACAAAAAUGCUUAAUAACUUAGAUUAUUACUAUAUAUAGCUGCAUGAUCGAAAGUUACAAAUGUGGUGAUGGAGAAAUUGAAUUAUGUACAGCUUAAAUUAGCACAUAACUUUUGGAAGCAUCUUCUUGUUUUUUUUUAAAAAAAAAGACAUACAUGCUGUUGUUCUUGAUUGUCUAAAUUUCUAAAAAAAAUUGAGAUAAAGGUAUCUGAUUAUAUAUAGGAAUGAAUGGAAUCGAAACAAAAGGAACCACAUGUACUGUUUGUACCUAACUUGAUCUUGGUAUGUGUAUAAUGUGCAAGUACUUUUAUGCAUGCAUGUUUUAUUAGUAUUUCGUCGAAUUAAGAUGUUAGGUGGAAGACUGAUCUUUCAACCAUCGAAAGUUCACUAAAUUUGCUAUCUAGUUAGAGGCAGGAUUAGAAAUAAAGUUAAAGCUUUGGGCAAAGAACUUUCUACAAGAAAACCCUGCCGACAAUAUGUGGUAAUGUCACCUCUUUUACCAUUUUGUAUAACUACGCAGAUACAACUGUUUCGGUCCAACUUUCAUAUGACAAAAUUUUAAUAAAACAUAUAUAUUUAGUAGUAUGAACACACAUGGGCCAACACUAAUUAUUUGUGUAGUCUUUCUAACUAUAACUGCCAAAAUUACGCUAUUCAUGCACAUGUCACAGCUUGAUAAUAUAUGUGACGACGAAGAGAGUGAAGCUUCCAAGUCAAAACGGAACUGUAUCAAAUUCCCAUAUAUCUACCAACUGCAUCUUCCACACCUAACAAAGCUACAUUGUUUAGUAGUAGAGUGUACGUGUAAAGGCUAGCUGUUGCAAUAUAUUCUUACAUAUAUAUAUAUGCCUCCUUGUAAUAUAAUUCCAAUCCGUAUAUAUUUGCGUUUGAGAAACAAUAUUUUUUAUGGAAAAAAAACAUGAGAAUAUUACACACGCACCAGAGAGCGCGACCAUGUCCUUUUGAGAGAGGCCCUGCGCGGCGAAGAGCGAGGUGAGGUUGGCGAGGCCCGACGUCGGCGGCGGGAUGUUGUUGUUGGCGCCGCUGAAGCUCGCCGUUGUUGGGAAAAUGCUCUUCGCACGCCCCAGCGAUACUGUGGAUCGAGAACCUUCUCACUCGGUGCCGUGAGAGGCUUGAGCAAUAGCGGACAGUGGACUCAACGGUAGGUGAAUACAGUGAAUGCUCUCUCUAUUAAUGGCGGCACCACGCCCCUUAUAUAGGGCCCGGAGACCGACUCAACGACAUUUACAUAAAUGCCCCGUGACGGUGGGGGAAUAUUCCAGCAUAUUCUUUCAUCGCAGUCUACUGACCCCAAUGUACUCGCGUAAUUUCACGUCGCAAACCCUUUGUUCAUCCUUCGACUGGGGCCUCAGCAGGUCGAAGGCUCGGAUCCUCCGCCCAGUUGUGGAUCCUCCGACGCUUCGGUGUCGGAGGUUCCGCAGCCCGGCUGGUCGGAGGUUGCUUGGCCUGGCUGCGUUCUCUUGCUAUCCUCGGACUCGGGAGGGUCGGAGGUUCCAACCUUUUCCUCAUUCGCGGACCUCCGCCGGUGCUUCAGUCCCUGCACACACUUUGCAUGACCAGACGAGUCGUCAACAUUAGCAUUCCCCGCCGAAGGUUAUCCUCCGACGUUCCAGACGUCGGAGGUUCCUCAGGUGAAGGAUAACCUCCGGCGCUACCAGGGGGAAGGAUGCAGCUUUUCCCCAACAGCCGUCGUGGAGUCGCGCCGCCCGACCUUGACGUCCCAGCUUGGACCACCCAGCUGCAUAUAUAUAUAUAUAUAUAUAUAUAUCGAUCAGCAUCAGCAUCCAUCAGACACUUGCUUCAUACAGUGUCGAUCACAGAGACUUUGAGAGGUGCGUGCAAGCACUACUACUCACUAUGACGACGCUGUCCCUAGCAGCGAUGGCGAGGAUGUCAGCACAGGAGACGACGCCGGGGCACACCUUCUCGACGGCGGACUUGACGGCAUCGAUGACCUCGAAGCCUCGCACGGAGCCGUUGUUGGGCGUCGCCAUCUUCUCGCCCUGAAAGCUGGCCGUGUCGUCCAACAGCAGCGACGCGUCGCAGCCCUAUACAUAUAUACAUGGAUGCAAAUUAUAAGAACAUUCAUUUGAGAGAUCGAUCGUCCAUGCAUCGAAUUCAUCUGCUAGCUAACUAACGUACUUGGACGAAGCAGUCGUGGAAGAAGAGGCGGACGAUGGAGGCGCCCAUGCGCUGCUCGGUGGCGAUGGCGGAUUGUAUCGCCGACUUGACGGAGUCGUACACGCCGGGGCACGAGGAGGAGUAGAAGCUGGUGGACAGCUGCGCCGACGAGGUGCCGGCCGCCAUUAGCACGAGGAGCAACAGCAGAGCGAGGCCGCUGGCGCUGCAGCUGCUGCUGCAUUUUGUUGCAGCUGAUGCUGGGGCCAUGAUCGAUCGACGAUCGAUGUCAAUCAAAGGGUGCUAUAUAUAUAUAUUCCUAUCCCAAGUGCUGCUGCUGCUGCUGCUGCUGUAGUGUGUGCUGCUGCUGCCUGUGGAAUGUGGAUAUGGCUAGCUAUGGAGAAUGCAUGGGUAUUUAUAGCCCAAGCAAGCGAGCCCUGGGCGGCUGGGGCUGGGUUUGCUGGUUUUGUAGUUAGCAUCACUGCAUCAGUAAUAACUUGUGUGUGUGUAUAAUAUUGAAGCUAGGAGUACUAGUCUAGAACAGGCAUAUGCAUAUGAUAAUAAGCAUCAGUAACAUGCAUGCGUCAAGAACUAACAUAUGAUUAGCUAUAGGUAGGUUACAUCAUGUAUGGAGCGUGGACUUAUGGUACGUACGACGACUUCACCUGCUUUGUUUGACUUUGAGUUGAAUAGCAACUGAUCAUCCUCCGCCAAUCAAGCUGGUUAAUUAAGCUGCGGGCCUGCCUGCCCAACAGGAAUUCAGGAACCAGAGCUAGUGUGUACGAGUACGUGUGUGUAUGUACCUUACCUAGGUGUAUCAGUGUAUGCAUUGUGUGUACCUGGGAGACUGGAGAGUUUGGUAGUACGUAGCAAGAACCGCCUCUAGCAUGACGACGACGCAUAUGCAGAGUUGUUGAAGCCUGCAUUGCCAAGCAUCUGCAGGCUGUAGUUUAGGACAGCAUGCAUAUACACGGAAUUCAUGGGAACUUUUUGGGCAUGUUGUAAUACUGUCGUGCUAUUGAAAGUGUCGUUUUUGACUUUUACAUUUCUUGUUGUGAAAUAUGCCUUAAAGGGCACAAGCAGUUUGCUUCAAGGUUUAGUUGUUGUGAACAGGAUAAGAAUAUACACCAUCGCAUACGCUCACGUUCACAUGAAGUGUGUUUAUUUAGCCCAGUCUCAAUGCAUAGUUUCAUGGCACGGUUACCAAGACUAUAAACUAGGUAACCGUGCCACAUGAGUUUCAUGGGGAUGAAACUUCUCUCUCAUAUGAUGAAACUCCUUCAUUUAAUGAUCCUACCAAGCCAGCAAUUUUUCUUAUAUGACAUUCUAUUUAAUGUGCAUGACACUUUUAUAAAACAUGCAUUGAGUCUGACCUUACUACUACUACUUGGCAUGCAUGCAAAAGUUGCCUGGGCGAGGAAUUUGUGUGCUUUUAGCAUGGUAAUUUCGUUAGAAUUAAUUCCGUAAAUUUUGCAUUAUAUAUAAUGUAUGAGGGGAGGCAUGCAGUUCACACAAACAAGAACCAACCACUUGCAACCCAAGUCGUACAAGUAGCAAUGUUUCAUUUCAUUUUGAGUUGCAUGUAGACAACUGUUAAAAAAUUACUAGUAUAUGCAAACUACUUGAUGCAUGUGUUCAGGUUGGGAUGUAAAACUAUAUGAUAGAAUAUUUUUAUGAUAUCGUGUAAUUGUUUAUGUACACUAUAAAUUUAUACACUACAACAAAAAUUAGUAGACAUUUCAGGGCCGUGACGGGAGGAAGUAUAUAUAAUUAUAUAUUUGUUGAUAUAGGUGGUAAAUAAAUUGUGUCUUAAAGGCAUUGACAAUUCCAAAGCUGUUACAUUUGUGCUGGAAGGAGGCAGAGUUUCACGCUAAGGGCAGGUACGUUACAAUCAAAAGGCAACUAUUUCACCAUUGUACUAUUUAAUGUUACCAUACAACUCAUAAACUUUAUUUUAUUUAUUGCACAAAUUAAGGAUAACUAAGUUACUACAAAUCAAGUUGAAAGAUAAAUAUAUAUUGUAUAAACUGGUUGUUCAAUCAUUCUAUGAUUAUGUACCACCACUAUCGGAUCUGCACUCUUUACCGAGUGCCUAGGGCACUCGGCAAAGAGCAUUUCCCUCUCGGUAAAUAAAGGCUUUGCCGAGUGCCUACUGACAUGGCACUCAGCAAAGCCGUGUCGGCAAAGAGGGCUUUGUCGAGUGCCACGUGGCCGGCACUCGGCAAAGGUGACAUCCGCCACCAACCUGACGGCACCCUUUGCCGAGUGCCACGAUACUUGGCAAAGAUUUUUUUUAUUUUUUUAAAAAAAUUCUUUGCCGAGUGUCUUGGCGCCAAACACUCAACAAAGAUUAUUUUUUUUAAAAAAAAAAUCUUUGUCGAGUGUCUUGGCGCCAGACACUCGAUAAAGAUUUGUUUUUUUUAAUUUCUUUGCCGAGUGCCGGCACUCGGCAAAGGAAUGGUCACUUUACCGAGUGCCAGCCCAACACUCGGCAAAGUUGGACUUUGCUGGGUAAAAUGCCCAGCUUUGCCUAGUGCUGGCACUCGGCAAAGCUGGGUUUUUUUUUUUUGCUUUUUUCCUGUUUUCUUGCAUUCCAGACAUUAUAUUUCACAUAUAUCAUCACGAUACAAUAUAUAGAAUAUCACAUAUAUAUAUACCAUAUCACAUAUAUAUACCGUUUCAUCCUCAGAACUUUUUUCAACACAAAUCCAAACAUAAUGAAACACAAAUCCAUACAUAUCCAAUCCAUACAAGUCCAACAUAACCAACACAUGUUCAAAAGCCAAACAAGUUCAUUUAUUCAAGUCCGAAAGCGACCCUAAAAGAACCUAGGUCGACCUGUCGUCCCCAGGAGCCCCAGAGCCCCCAACCUUGCUCCCAUGGAGACCAAUCUGUCUGCCGGUAGUUCGCCGGAGGGGUGCUUGCAGGCCCGAAGUGCCCCUACUGCGGUGGUGGAGGCGGGUACGAGUACCCUGCUGCGGUGGUGGAGGCGGGCACGAGUACCCCCGUUGCGAUUGGUAGGUUUGCGUCGACCAGGGGUAUGACCGUGUCGGGUGGGUGGGGUAAGUCGGUACCCGUGCGGUGGAGAAGAGCCUAGUGGAGGGCUGGCACGUGGAGUCGAGUUCAAACCCGCCAACUGUGCCUGCACAAAGGGCAAGUGAUCUCAUUAGUACAUGCAGGAUGGCCACAUAAGCUAAAGCAAUAGGCAAUAUACUCACCGGAAUCGAGAAAGGAGUUGGCACAAGAAUUGGUGGUGGAGCGAAGAGCAAGGGAGGGAGCUCAGCCUGAUGCGCUCUCGGGAUCUGGGCCCCCAAGUAGGUGGUCAAGUCUUGCAACGCACGCUGGUAGUGCUUCCCUAGUGCCGCCAUCUGUUGCUCAUGGGCCGGGUCGCCUGCAUGUUCUGCUGGUUGGUCUCCAGCUAGACGAUCCUUUCCUACAAUAUUAUAAGAGCCAGGUUGAUGGAAUAUUACAAGGUACGUGUGUGAAACGAGUGAACAGUGAAUGAAACUACACUUACCUGGAAUGUUGAUAGCAUCUGCGCGCUGGUCGUCUGCCGAGGCGCUAUGGGGAUGUUGCAUCCACUUCUCGCAUGUCCUCGUCAAAUCUGGCUUAGUGUCUGAACAGAGGAUGACUCUGGCACUGUUAGCCAUAUAGUACCGUCCGUGCUACUUCCCUCCUUCCAACCUCAUCAAGAGCUCUGUAUCCAGGGUGCACUGGCCGGGUCGAAAUCCUUCCCAUGGCGCUCGCGAGCCGCCACGGUGUGUACUUGGUGAGCUUGGCGUAGGCGUUCGCGUUGGUGUACGCCUCGGACCCAGCAGCAGGGUCAUAGACGUUGUUGGGUCAGUCGCUCUGCCCUGGUGAGAUAGGGCAAACCUCGUGAACUCGUUGCAUUUCUUCCCCUCAUGCGCCUGGCUCUGCGAGGAAAACACAAAUAGGGUUACAAGUAAUGACAAUUGAGCGUUAGAAUAAACAGAUCAAUAGAAACAUACCCAAUUGUCGAUGUAGGGAGGGACUGGUUCCCUUGGUGGUGUGGCACCCCUGGCAUCUGCAAGCGGCGCUCCCGACGUACUCUGUGUGCCUUGUACACUGCGUCCGUACGCCAGCCACGCACAAUGACACGCCAGCAGUCCGGGUACUUGUCGCACCAGUGUGGUACCUCCUGCAUGACAUUCAAGUAUUUGGUAUUCCAGAAGAUGAAUUGAAUGUUUCACGUAAGGAAUCGUAACGAAUGUUUUCUAUUUAAUUAUCUGCAUGUACUGCUCCUCAGUGAGGUCGAUCUCCCUCUCGAGUAUCAUCUCCCUCACUUGCGGCUUCUUCACCACCUGGCCAAGCACGUCGGCGUGGUAGCUGAUCAUGGCCUAGAGAUGCGCCUCAUGGUACUGGUCCUUGAGAUGAUCUUUGCAGACCGCCUCCAACACUCGCACCGCAUGGGCCUCGUGCCCCUCCUCCAACGUGUAGAAGUCUUGCACACACACACAUCAAACAUCAUUUCAUUGUUCUUGAUCUUAGCCGAGUGCCAGCCCAUCUGGCCCUCGGCAAAGGGGGUGCUGCUGACCAGCCCUGGGCCUACCACGUGGCAGCCUUUGCCGAGGGCCAUGGCACUCGGCAAAGGUACCUUUGCCGAGUGCCUGACGGCGUAGCACUCGGCAAAGGGGACGACGUCGGAUGCCGUUUCGCCCGGCCCCCCUUUGUCGAGUGCCUGCCUUUGCCGAAUGCCAUGCACUCGACAAAGAGGCCCUUUGCCUAGUACCUGCCUUUGCCGAGUGCCAGAUACCUAACACUAGCCCUUUGCCAAGUGCCAGGCACUUGGCAAAGGAUUUCGCCGUCGGCAAAGCCGCGGAUUCCGGUAGUGCACACUGAUUGAGGCCAUCUAUGAGACACUACUAAUAAGCUUGCCCUAAGAUGUUUUUGGGAAUUAAAUGGUAGUUGCAUGCUUUGCGUGCACAUGGUACUAGAAUUGUUUGAAACUUGAAAGGGAUGUGACAUUUUUUUCAAAGGUGUGUGUUGGAUGAUACCAACCUAGCUAGACCAAAAAAGCUGAAUGCACAUUCUCUCUUAUUUUAGCUGAAAGGCUUGGAGUGGACAUUGCUUUAAUUUCCAUUUUCUCAUCAGGGAAAAUUAUACUGUUAAACAGAUGGAAUGUCGCUGAGAUCUUCAGAGAUUUGGUUUUGAUCACUGUCAAUUAGUUCGUGGGUAGGCAUCAGGCCGCAACACACAUGUCGUCAUUGCAGCAGGUGACCAGCUUACUACCCUGCUUCUCCGAUCCUUCUCUAUUAUCGCAAUGCAUUAGAUGUGAAGGAAGAGUCUCCGCAAGCUAUAGCUUGCUGAUGAACAUACCACUGUCGGCUGCUGUCUGCGUCAAGAGAAAUUUUUAAGGAAAAAUGUGCAAGGAAAAGAACAUGGGAGGGAUGGAGCUGCUCGAUCCGUAGGCAGAUAUUAAUCUAAUUAAGGCUGAGUGGGUUUGGUGUGGAUAACUUGUGUUUGCUUUGUCAAAUGCAAAGCAUGUUGCCAGCUAAAAAGUAAUGGAUAGUCCGAUAUAUAUAUAUAUAUAUGCAUGGGAUGAUGACCUAGCUAGCAAGUUCAAGCUAGUAUGAAUUCUGACAAAGUUUUUAUAAAAAUGUGUUUAACAAGUUCAAAUAAUACAUUACAAGGACAUAUAUUUAUCGAAAAUUUAACAAAACUAUUUUGUAUUCUAGAUAUUAACACAUUAAUUUUUCUAUAAACUUGGUUGAAGUUAUAUAUACUAGAGAUGUUUGAUCUAGGAUACAUCUAAGUGACCGGUAAUUUAGAACAGAGAAGUUUCCUCAACAAAAAAAAAAGAACAGAGAAGUAGCUAAUAUGGCAUAUGCCUAUUGCUGGCCCUAUAUAUAAACUUACAUUACAGUAGAAGUUCAAUUAGGUACUUCUAAGAGCAUUAAACAAAGUAGUUGGGUCGCCACCGAACUUACAUGAGAAAACACAAGCCUACGAAAGGAGCUGUUUCUUUGACAAGAGAUAACAGGGAGCACCUUCAUUAAGAUGGACAGGAGAAAACAGCGAACACUAGCAUUUCAGAGAAUUGUAUCAGAUUGGAGAGAUACCGAACCCAAGGACGACAAGGAGAUGACCUUUUCUCACCCAAUCAUGACUCCAUUGUUGGCUUGUAGCAGCAGAGAAGAAUCAACAAACACCACAGGGCAGAGGAAAAACAAACAUCCCAUCUCACAUGCCUAGCGCUAGACUACUAACUAGCUGAAGCUAACCCCUGACUGAACCAUUCAUCCUACUUCUAUCUGAUUGAAAGAAGUAAACGAGCAGCAAGUUAACUAUCAACACUGUGGUGUAUAUCAUAUAAAUAAUCAAUAAUUUAAUUAUAAGAAGGGCUAUGUGAAUUAAAUAAUUUAUUUGUGUAGCCGUCGAACUGGAAUGAGAAAGAUGCACAUAUAAUGGCUAAGGGGCUAACACUAGCUAGUAGACCAGCGAGUCAACUGAUCUAUAGGUCCCAUUUAGGAGUGUGAUAUAUUGAACAAGUGAUCGACAGAAGAGAAGGCAGAGGUGGCUUCACCCAAUCAUGACUCCAUUGUUUGACCCUAAUUCAGUAGGGUAAAGUUAAAGCCGCCGUCAUCUAUCCACCUCUACAUUAUGAUUCCAGAUUCUAGAUAGUGUUCACAUGUGUGGAAAAUUCAAGUAAUCUGCGACAACAUUUGAAAUUCUUUUUGACUAGUUUUGUCUUCGCGGUCCAAACUUUGGGCAUAAAGUACUCCAGCAGUUUGUCCAAGAGGAGAGGCAGACAGCAGUACACAUUUUUCACUGAAGACCUCAUGGCAUGCAAAUGAUAUAUUACCUUACCACACACUGCUGGAAAAUUGGACUGGAGGCACCCGGUCGUCGUGUGUGCAGUGGUAUGCGACCAUACAGAUACAGCUAAUUAACUGAAUUUGACACCCCUCUCCUGUUUUUUAGCUUAUUCAAACUUGGUUACUUAAAUUGCUCUGACUUCACAUUUUUAUCUUCUGAAACGAACACACAUCUCUUUCAACAAACUAAUGAAGAUUUUUCUAAAAGUUAAAAGAGAGAGGGGUGGUGACGAUAUGGUAAUAAAAAAAACUUGCAGGAGGCGCGUUUUUCCAGAUACAACAAAGAGCAGACAGUAGGUACGUUAUGAAGAAUCUUAUGACUGAUAAUGACUGAAGUAGUUAGUUAUAGAUACCCUUUAUAUAGUGUUACAGUCAAAUGAAUUCAAUGCUAAGUGCCGAAAGUGGCGACUUUGUUCUACCGCAAUUGUUGGGUGUUCGGCGGAUUGGAGACCAAAUAUAUAUAUAUGUUCAUCAGACCUACAAGGUACUCGAUAGUUAACAAGCUAUAUAGUCACAGCCUCACAGGGUAUUAGAUUGAAGAUAGUUGUUGCAAAUAAUCAGCAGUGAAAACUCGUGUACUAAAGAUUAGACUGCCACGUACCAGUUGUAGCCAUGAAUCGGUACAGUUAUAUAGUGCUUUCUUUGGCUCCGUCCGCUUGAGUUUCUCAGUCGAAUAUGUCAGUCAUUCAGCAGUAUUUUUUCUCAUAACAAAUUAACGAACAUGUCAUAGCUUUUUAGACAAGCGAACAAAACCAAAGGUAGUGUAAGUUGAUAAACAACAAAUGAGAGUAGUGCAAGUUGAUAAACAAGAUCAAAGAUAAUUUUUCUUUUACAAUAAAUUAGCAAACAGUACUUCUUAAGCGGUGCAAGUUGAUAAACCAGUACUAUUAAUGUCAAUAUGCCAGUCGAUUCCUCGAAAAUCAAUUGAAUCACAUAAAAGCUAAAUCGAGAACAAAAGAGAGCAAAGAUAGCAAUUGCUGUAUAUGCGUGUAAAUUAAUUAGAAAUUUGAAUCAAGAUAUACUAGCUAGUCUUUGUAGUUUGAAACCGACAUGGCAGCAGAAUAAGUCCAAUCGGACUACACUGACGCGUACUGCGCUGUUCAUACCGACACUACAGUAUGGCGCAUGCAUCCAUGCAGCUGCCCUUUUCCGACCUCAAUUUAAUUAAUUGGUUCCAGUUUUUUAUAGGACGAAUUAAUAACACCAUUAGACGGGCUUCUUCAGCGGCUUCAAAAGUUGUUUGAAGCCGUUUUCUGUUGAACAGAAUAAAAUAGAAUGGCUUCAUCGAUGAAGCCUCUAAAAAUAUAUUUUUAUAGAGCUUUUGGGUGUGAAGGAGUUAAAAAUAUAGUAGCUUCUCGUAGCUUUAUCUCAUCCUACGUGGCGUUCUAUGAGAGCACAUUUUAAGAAAAAAGCUAUUUUGCUAAACGAUAUAACAAAACGGCUCCGGCUCCACCGAUAGAGCUGUUCAUAGAGUUUAAGUUAAAAAACACCUUCACUGGUAAAGUAGAGCCGUACGUGCCAAAGACCUUAAAAUACUAAAGCCUUGUUUAGUUCACCCUUAAAAUCAAAAAGUUUUCAAGAUUCCCCAUCACAUCGAAUCUUGUGGCACAUGCAUGAAACAUUAAAUAUAGACGAAAACAAAAACUAAUUACACAGUUUAGCUGUAAAUUACGAGACGAAUCUUUUGAUCCUAGUUUGUCCAUAAUUAGAUAAUAUUUGUCACAAACAAACGAAAGUGCUACGGUACCGAAAACUUUUCAUUUUUCAGAACUAAACAAGGCCUAAGCAAAAGAAGAAAAAAAAAUGAAUAGCAGCUGAAGUAAGCGGAGGAUGAGAGAUCCAAUCGUCCAUUCUUGUCAAGAGACUGCAGAGAUCCUACGUUCGGCAAGAUCGGAUCCUAUAGGGCAAGCUGUCUAGCUAGUUAGGCUCUAGCUUUAUGUUAUUUUGCUCAUGUUUAGUUUCACCUAAAAAACCAAAAUUUUUCAAGAUUCCUCGUCACAUCGAAUGUUUUGACGCAUGCAUGAAACACUAAAUAUAAACGAAAAUAAAUAGUAAUUACACAGUUUUCCUGUAAUUUGUGAAACGAAUCUUUUGAGCUUAAUUAGUCCAUGAUUGGAUAAUGUUUGUCAAAUACAAACGAAAAUGUUACAGUAGCGAAAACCAAAAUUUUCUAGUAACUAAACAAGGCCUUUGUUUCAGCUAAGCCACCCAAGUCAAGCUACCUAAGGAGUAUAUACUUUUCUAGAUAAAGGAUAUAUAAAAUAACCGAAAAUGAGUAUAUACUUACUCCCUCCUCAUCCAGAAUAAAUCAAUUUGUAUAGUUAUCUUAAGUCAGACUUGUCGAUAUUUAACCAACUAUUUAUAAAGAGCAUAAACAUUAAACAACAUAUUACAAAAAUAUAUAUAUUAUGGUAUAUCUAAUGUUGGAGGUUGCAAAGGAGCCUCCGAACACAAUGGCUUGCCAUGUCCGCUCGCUGGCUGCGACAGUGGUUUAAGUUCAAAAGGGUCAGGCUCGAAACCUUAGAAUGAGCAGUGCAUUAAUAAAUUGGUUUCAACUAACCAUUCAAAGAGCAUUUACAGUCCCCCUUUUAUAGGGCGCGGAUCUUGGUCGGAAUCUAUUACAAAAAUGCCCUGUGACGGUGGGGAAUAUCCAGCAUAUUCCGCCACCGCAGUUUACACCUUAUAGGGCUACUUAGGUAAAUUCAAACAGCAAGCUCAUUGCAGGCUAGCUCGUCGAGGCCCUGUUCCUGUCGUGGCUCGAACCUUCGCGCAUCCUCUGUCGAGACCCAUGGAUCCUCCGCCGUGCGGCCACCGAAGGACCUUAGACCGCCUCACAGGGUUUCUCUGGCUCGUCCCUGUUUAGGGUUAGCACAUCCUUCAUCGCGUGGGAGCCGAAGGAUAGGCUUCUUCCCCCUGCGAUUCUCCGCUUGAGAUUGGUUCUUGCACACAUAUAUCACGAAACCGAUCUGUAUCAAUGUUAAGUUCUUUUGGGACCUUCAUCCCCCAGUGUCCACAGGUUGGGGGUAUGAAGAUUCAAUCAUCGCGGUCGAAUUACUUCCUUUCUUUCAGACGCAGCUGUGGGUGAAGACGUGGUUGAACUCCCAACAGUUUCCCCCCUUUUGAGUGUGGGGGGCACAUCUGUGGGGCAUAUGCUCAAAAGCUCGAACCUUCCCCGCUGUGUUUGGUGCGGCGAAGGUUCCGCCUUCCCCCUGGUGCGCAGGAUAUGGCUACUGAGAUUCGAUCAUUUAUGGGUUUCUUUAUUUCCUUAACAGACUGUUGUGAUCGCGCUGCUUGUGACACGACAGUUUUUCCCCAGGGAUUGCACCCUGCAAUGGUUGCAGGUAGCCGUUGGGUGUUGAGAAUUGUAACUGUCGCAGGCUCCCCCUAUAUAAAGGGGGGUUACUUUGUUCCUCACACUAUCGCUUUCGCAUACUCCCCUCAAAGCCUUUGCUCUCUUACAACCUUUCGUUCUCUCGUUCUUCUCGCUGCUUGAGCUUUGCUUCUACAGUGGCUUCCCCACCUUCGCUUCAUCCUGUCUAGGCUAACUUUGUUGGUCCUUUCCACAAUUUGCUAAGAGUGAGGUCUAGUGGUUGGUUAGGUCGCUACGAGGAGUGUAUGCUUGAGGUGUUCGCCGCUCGGAAGCUGGAAGAGAGUUUGUCCAACGUCGAAGCUUCCGUCAGCGAUCUAAUAAGUGCGGAGGAAUCCUUUUCAAUGGCUGGGCCUACUUUUGAGUUCGGAGAGUCUCUUGUGAUGGUGGAGGAUAUUUCCGAGAUGGUUUAAGGUGGAUUUUUCAAGGAAGGUCGGGCGAAGGCCCCUCUAGCCGAGCAGACAGUUCCUGACCCCGAGCCAGGGUACGCUGUGGUUUUUAGGGACUACUUUACCUACGGGUUGUUGUUGCCCCCCUAUUCCUUCCUCUGUCAGGUUAUGGAGGCUUUCAACUUGGAGCUGCAUCACUUCAGCCCAAAUGGCAUUCUUACGCUUAGUAAGUUUUGCUGGGCCUACGAAUCAUAUGGGUCGGUGCCCCAUAUUGAUACCUUUUGCACCUACUUUGAGCUUCAAAAACAUCCGAAGAAGGUCAAGACCGCCAAAGGAGAUUGCAUAGCAUAGUUUGGAAGUUGUGCCUUUAUGCCCCAAAGGACAUAGCCUUGAGAGCGACUAAAAAUGUUGUAUUGCUAGAAGAACAAAUGGGUGAGGGACUGGAUGAAACUAUGGUUCUACGUGAAGACUCCUGGCGUCGUGCACACUCUUGACAAUGAGAGCACAUUGACCGUGUACCCGUACGCAUCAAAGAUGAGGGAGAUGAAGCCCUUGUCGAAGGUGGAUCCUUCGGUAGACCAGUCAGAGGAGCGCAAGUCUUGCGAUAAGGCCUUCGCCCUCGCCUACCGCUACUCUGGUGGGCUAGAUCUUGUGGAGGAGAUGGCUACGUCAGACUUUUGGCUGCUUGGCCAUCAAAAUGAGGACUAUAAGAUUGAGAUAGUUCAAGUUCCAGUUUUUGGGCCUGUGGAGGGUCUUCCCUUUCCUCGGUUUGAGAGAGAGCUUGGGGAAGAUCAGAUAAAGGAGUCCUUCUUGGUUGAGGUGGAAUCCUGCGUGCACAGGAUAGUGGGAAAGAUGUCCGAGUGGGAGUAUCUUGCUCAACGAACUUCACAGGGCAUGAUGCCUCAUUUUAAUCGUGUUCUUGAGGAGUAUGGUAUUCACCAUGAAGAAUAUGAAGUGCCUACGGAGAUCUUGGUGGGCAUUAAAAAGAAGAGAGACGUUGCCACCAGGAACGUGACAGUGAAGCGGAGGCCAAGAAACGGAAGGGUGGUGGGGCGGCUAAAGCCCUAGCCAAAAAGCCAUGCAUUAGUGUACUGGCGGAGGUUUCUACCGGUUCUUCUUCUCGUGGUGGUUCUUCCAGCGCUGGUUCUGGGUCGGCAGAGCCUGCCGAAGGUUUGAUUGUUUCGGCUCCUGUGACGGAAGUUGGUGCCCUAGUUGGACCCGAGCCCUCGGCGGUCAACCUGCUUCCCUCGCUACUUGGUGAGGAUUCUUCUGAUAUGGAGGCGCCUGUUGGUAAGCCUGCGGGUGUCGAGGCACCUGCCUUUGAAUUAGAGGAAGACUCAGGGGAAGCGGAGUCUGCGCCUCAUCCCCCACUUGUGGCAGAGGCUGCUCCCUCUGCUGAGGCAUCUGGUAGGCCAUUGAGCCUUUAUAUGGGUACUCAUCGCUGCUUUUGUUUUAUGUUUUCAUUUGGGCCUUUCAUGCUUUGUUUCGUCUAAAACGCGUGAAUUUUUUUGCCAAGUGAGGCUUUUCACUACCUUGGCUGGCGCGGAGGAACUGGCCAGAGGUGCGAGCAUUGCUCAUGAUGGCCUCGAAGUGCCUCCGCCACACAGUCCUGCGCCCAACGUUUCUGGCUUUGUGCCUCCGGCCGGAGUUGGUGCUUGUAAGCGUCUUGUUUCCUCUUAGGUUUGUGGGUUUUUAAAGUUAUCUCUUGACAUGUGUUUUGAUGCGUUAUGCAGCAGCCUCCGACUCCACGCUUUCUGGUUGGGCUAGCAUUGUCCAUGAAGUUCAUAGCAUUAUCAGAGGUAUGUUUUUAGCCUUGUGAUCUUCUAUCGGUUUUUCUUAUAUUUUCUUACGUCUUUGUUCUUGCCAAGCGCUUCCGGCGAGAGCUUCGCCACAUGGACUAUUCUACCCUCCUUCGUGUGCAAUUUGAGCAUCAUAGUCUUGUGAGUGUUUUUUUAGUUUUGUAUAUAUAUUAUUUGUUUGCUUAAGUUUAUUUUGUUUCAUGAUCCUAGGGGCAUCACAUGGCUGCGGCCCUGGAGGAGCGGUGCUCCCAAGAGGUGAUCAACCAUGACGAGGCCAUUAAGCUCCUGAAGGAGGAGAAUGAGUCUCUAGAGGCCGUGAAGGCUCAUCUUUCGAAGGAUGCGAAGCUUCUUCCUCUAGCUCGUGAGGAGAUUGCUUCUUUGAAGAAGGAGAAGGAAGAGCUAGACCUGGCUAUGGCAAAGCUGUGAAAGAAUGUGGAUGAUGCAGGGGCAGCAAGGACUUGGCCGUGCAAAGGGCUGCUAAGGUCGAUGAGAUUUCAAACCGCCUCCGCGAGGAGCUGGAGGCUGAACGUGAGUCGGCGGCCUCCCUGCAGGACCAACUGAAGGAGGCCUGAGGCGAAGCGGAAGGGGGCCAGGGCGGAUGUGACGAAGGACGUGGGUCUUUCAGAUAGACCCUCCUCUUAGGUGUGAGGGGUUUCGUAUAUUUAGGGCCUUGCGUCUGUGAGACAUUUGUAAAAAGACUAUGUUCAACAUGUGUUUUGCAUCUGUAUAAAGUUUAAUAUCCUUGUUAAAGUUUCAUUUUGUUUGUUUUACUUAUUGCAAUUUUGCGCUUUGGCCUGCGCAGGUCUCUGGCGAAGGACCUGUGCAGGAUGUUUGUGAUGUUGCCCUUUUGUCGUUUUUUUACAACAUGAUUUAUGUUCUGUUGGAUUUUUGGGAGCACUGUCAGGUUGCGUUUCCCAAUCAGAAUGUUGUAGAUAUGUUUGACUUUAUUGAUUUUGAUAUUGAUUACGAACGAUCUGAGUUCGUUCGUUCACUUGCGCAUCGCGGGACCUGGCCUCCAUCCUAGGUUGUUGUUUUAGUCUUUUUUCUUUAUUUGGUUAUUAUGUUUGAUGUGCUUGAACCUUUAUUACUUUCCUGGUGCAGCCUUCGUACUCGAUUUUGCGUAUCUUUGGCAAAGACGAAGAGGUGUUUUGCCUGCUGGAGGAUCCAUACCUUUUGGCGGAGCUUUAUCUUCCCGGCCGUAAGGAGGUUGGUUGUUCUCACUUGGUUAAAUGCAUUUUUGAUGUGAACGAAGGUGUGUUGCUCGCUGUGCUUAUUUUCUUUUUGCUUUCAGUUUGUUCUUCCUCUUCCUACAUGUGGUGUUCUUCCGCUGAACUUUCAAGAGGGGUCGUAUAUGUCUUCAGUUACCUUGAAGCGGGGAGACGUUUACAUCAAGGGGUGGAUUCUAGAUUGGUGGCAUCGUCAAUUUCCUUCACGUACGGUGGACGACCUGGUCGAGUAUGUUGCUCGUGACUACUGUGAGGAAAUAUCAAUGUUUGGACCUUCAGACGUUAGGAUUGUCCGUGAUACUUGAUUCCUUCGUUGUGUAGGUAACGAAUGUUUUAGCUUUAGUGGUUGUGGCCAAGUUUGUAAUUUUGACUUUAUUUUUCUUUUUUUGUCUUGAUGUAAUCAGCAGUCGUACCCAUUGUGAAUAUGAAUAAAAGCUGAUUUUACAUGGGAGAUCUUAUUACAUUUUGAGGUUGCAACUACCUUCUAUUUUGCUCCUUGCUUGCUUCUGGCAAACUAACUAGUUGCGUAGGCAGACCUACGCGUCACUGUGGUGUUGAUCCUAAGGAUCUUUGUGUUGCUGCCGAUGUGUGUUUCUUGCCGUCAGAUGUUGCAGAGGUAAUAGUUGCUCUUGAUCUUGCGAAGGUUAGCUGGUUUGCGAUUGAGGUGCUUGACGAGGGCUUUCUUGUUGGGUGCCUUUGCUGGUUUGCUCUUCUUUUUGCUAUUGUAUUGCUCCUGUCAAACAUUGGUGAGGCUAACCUUCGCAAUGAAGCUUUGUUGGUUGUGGGGGGAUGUUACGAGACUUCGUGCAAUACCCUUCCGUAACCUCUAAUACUUGUAUGCAUUGCUUUUGUUCUAGCUGUACAUGACCCUAUGGCAGCUGUUCAUUAUAGUGUCGUGGGUUGCGUGUUAUGCUCUUGGGGUUUAUCUCUCCUUCGCUAGGUUUUCCUAUUACGAGUCUCCGUGCCGUACCAGUAGUGGUGCUGAUUGGUAAGCUCACUCCUCCUUCCAUGUUUCUCUUAUUUCUAUUUUCUACACUUUGGAUGCUAGGGCUGGGGGGUAUGGGGGCCGAUUUGGUUUUCUCGGUGGGGUUUAGUUUUGGGCUACUAUACUUGGAGCUGGUGCGACGCUUGAAGUAAUUGGGGCGGUGGGUUAGUCGGGGGCGACAAUGCUUCAAACCUGCUCACUGAUUGAUGAGGUUGGCUUGUUUCAAUGUAUGUAAUUUGUGGAGGUCUAGGACUCAUGUAAGCGGGGGUUGCCUCUUGGCAAUGGGAGUUGUGCUCUGCCUGUGGCUGUGUUGUGCGCCAGGUCGAUAGGAAGUUUGGGUAGUAGGUGGAGGCUACGGCGGAUGGGUGGAUUUGUGGUUGGAAUUAUUGGGCUACUCCCCUAGGUACGAAGGAUAACAAGGUUGUUGGUGUGGGUGGCGAAUGUAUAAUUUACCUCCCUUGGUUGGCUGGGUUGUGGAGGUUGUGGGGUGGUCCUGCUCUUGAUUGUUUCUUGAGUUUCUUUGGCAUCUAGGCAAUCUCUAGUUGUGUGUUCUUUUUCUUCCCCAUAAAAGAAACAAUAUUGUUUUUGUUGCCUCUGCUUCUGAUUUCUUCCCCAACCCCUACUUUGGAUACUUCCCUUCGCAUGGUGGAACCUACAUGCUGUGUUUGACGUCUCCAUCGGUAGAGACAUUUUACUCGACUGGUCAUUAUUUGGCUGCUCAAUGUUGAACAUUUGGCUGCCCUGUUCUUACCGUGGCUGCCGACCAUCUCGGUUUACAUUGUUUCUCUGCUGAUUCCUGUCACUGGCUUGCUUUUUUUGCUAAUUCUGCUCUUCUAGUCUUUUGCAGAAGUCAUUAUCAGAUUUGUAGUACUUUUCAAACUCAUGGUACAGCUCCUACAUAGAUGUUGGUAUCUCCCUGGUUAAGUGGGCCGUGAAGGGUGCGGAGGCCCUUGAUCGUUGCCUCGAUGGUGACUUCCUCUAACACACUUGGUGCCUUCCCUUUAGUUUGGACAAAAACCUUUGAAAGUAAUCUUGCAAGGCCUCCCCCUGACCCUGCCAGCACUAGAACAGAUCCGUGAAAGUUAGUGAUUUGAUGGUGAACCCUUGGACAUUUGCCAGAAUUUUAUCCUGCUGUAGGCUCAACAGCUAAGCCUGUAAUUGCUGAAGUUCCUGAACUGUUGUGGGUUCCGGCUGUUCCUCCAUGGGCGGGGCCUGAUCCACCACCGGUUGCUCAUCCACCGCGUCCUCAUUCUCUGCAGUCGUGUAUGUGCUUCGAGCAGCGCAUCUAGGCCUUCCCCUUCUAACGGCUUCAGCAGGCGCUCUUGUGGCGCUGCUUCUUUUGCCAGCCAUCAUGGGUUAUCUCGUGCCCCACGGUGGGUGCCAAUAUUAGAGGUUGCAAAGGAGCAUGUGAACACAACGGCUUGCCAGGUCCGCUCGCUCGUUGCGGCGAGUGAUUUAAGUUCAAUAGCGGCCAGGCUCGAAACCCUAGAAUGAACAGUGCAUUAAUAAAUUGGUUUCAACUAACCCUUCAAAGAGCAUUCACAGUCCCCUUUUAUAGGGCCCAAAUCCUGAUCAAAAUCUAUUACAAAAAUACCCCAUGACGGUGGAGGAAUAUCCCAGCAUAUUCCACCACCACAGUUUACACCUUAUAGGGCUACUUAGGUAAAUUCAAACUGCAAGCUCAUUACAGGUUAGCUCAUCGAGGCCUUGUUCUUGUCGUGGCUCAAAUCUUCAUGCAUCCUCCGUCGAGACCCAUGGAUCCUCCACCGUGCGGCUGCCGAAGGACCUCGGACCGCCUUGCAGGGUUUCUCUAGCUCGUCCUUGUUCAGGGUCAGCACAUCCUUCGUCGCUUGGGAGCUGAAGGAUCCCCUGCGAUCCUCCGCUCGAGAUUGGUUCCUGCACACAUAUAUCAUUAAACUGAUCUGUAUCAAUGUUAAGUUUUUUCGGGACCUUCGUCCCCCAUUGUCCACAGGUUGGGGUAUGAAGGUUCAAUCAUCGCGGUCGAAUUACUUCCUUUCUAUCGAACGCGGCUGGGGGCAAAGGCAUGGUUGAACUCCCAACAUCUAAUGAUAUUAAUUUGGUGUCAUAAAUCUUGAUGCUCUUUUCUUUAAAUUUAGAAGAAAUUUAAAUAAAUGACUUAAGACAACUCUAGAAAUUGAUUUAUUCAUGGAUGGAGAGAUUGAGUAAGUUGUAUUAUUGCUUAUUUAGUGUUCUCGACAUAAACUUACGUAGCAGUUGAUUUUUUUGUAAAUAAGUUGGAUCUUGAAUUAGGGGGAGGAUAACAAAAGGAGACACGCUUGCUUGGGCAUUUAAUCAAUCAAGUAUCCUCUAGUCACAAUAAGUGAUGCUUUGCAAUUAUUUGAGUCAAUUACAGGUCUAUUUUUGACAACUCUAAGCUCCUUUUUAUGUGUUGUGUUUGAAUGUUUGAAAGUUUUCAUAAAAAAAUAUAACAAAAGUAUUGGUCAAAUUUUGAAAUAAUUGACUUGAGGCAACCCCUAAGGCUCUAAAUGCCACUUAUCUGUGACUAGAGAGAGUAUUUAUAUAUGUUAGGCUAGACUCAAUGGAGAUUUUAUCUGGGUAUCAUUUGCAUUUAAUAAUGUAACACACAUCAACACAUUUGAUGACUUGUCAGAUAAUUAUGAAGAAAGAGAUAGAUGAGAGAUGAAACUCUAUUGACAUGAUCUUUAUGAGUCAUUAAAUUAAAUGUCUAUGAAAUGAUAAAUUGAAACAUUCCAUUGAGUCAUUAAAUUAAAAGUCUAUGAAAUCAUAGAUUGAAACAUUGCAUUGAGAAUGGGUGUAUUCAUCAUUGUUUUAUUUCAUUCUAUAUGACAUGGCAGUCAUAGAAACAACAUCAUGGAACUCCUGUUGGGACUCGCAUUGCAAAGCUUUAUUGAAAGGGUGUAGAAGAUCAAACCAGUAAUCAUGUCAUGACAUCAUUUAGAGACAACAUGUUCUAUAUGCAAAUUAAGUACAUAAGAAGAUCAAUUGCACAACACUGGAGAAGAGUUAUUGUUAGAAAUUGAUGAUGCACAUCGCUAUCAAUCCAUCUCAAGAACUUAUUAGAGGGCCAUUCGAGGUUUAUCGCUUAACCAACAAAUGCAUCUUAUAUGUAUGCUUUGUUAGUUAUUUUGAUUAAAUUAAACUAUAGGUUCACAUAGCAAGCCUUAGGUGAUUCUCCAUGCGGUAGAGUAUCAAAUAUAUCAAUGUGGCUGAAUCUGCACAAUGCAUGGUCUCUGAAGAUAUCCUCUAAUUGUUCAUAUUUACUUGUUGCAUACUUCACGCCAGUAGUUAUAGUGUUUCUUCAUGCAAAAUAUAUUGGUCAAAAAGAUGACAUAAACAAGAAGUGAUUCAUUCAUCAUUUAAAAAGAAAUGACAUGCAAACACAUCAAACACAACACAAUGACUUCACAGUUGUAAAAUAUAUGUAAAGCUACAAAAAGUCACUAGACAUGCAUAACUGAAGAAGAACAAGCCUCAAAGAUAGUUCAUUCGCAGUCCAUCAUCUUAAUUAAUGAACUAAUUAACUCUUCUGCAGUUCUUUCUUAUCUGGCCAUUGGAGCCCGUCAAUGGUGUGAUGUCACCCAUCUUAAUCAUACCCGUCACAAAAUCUGUGAAAAAUGUGCUCUGGCUACCAACAUAGGAUUGGACCAGCGUGUCGGUGGCUCCACCAUUGAAGAGCUCUUGGUCAGAGUGUAGAAGCCCCUUCUUGCUAAGAAGGUUCUUGUAGUAGUUGUUCUCAAAGACAGUAGGGGUUUGAAGGUCCAAUGGUGCCAAAUUGUUGUCACCUGCACCUGAGGUGCUUGGGCAACCUGAUUGCCUUGUUUUUGCAAAGGCAGAGUUG